GUGCUGGCUUCAGCAGCACAUAUACUAAAAUUAGAACGAUACAGUGAAGAUUAGCAUGGCCCCUGCACGAGGAUGACUCGCAAAUUCAUGAAGUGUUCCAUAUUUUU
ensembl:snRNA U6 U6 spliceosomal RNA